AACCCAGACUCCUACGGGAGGCAGCAGUGGGGGAUAUUGCACAAUGGGGGGAACCCUGAUGCAGCGACGCCGCGUGGGUGAAGGAGUGCUUCGGCAUGUAAAGCCCUAUCGGCAGGGAAGAAGCAAGACGGUACCUGACUAAGAAGCCCCGGCUAACUACGUGCCAGCAGCCGCGGCAAUACGUAGGGGGCGAGCGUUAUCCGGAUUCACUGGGUGUAAAGGGAGCGUAGACGGCCAUGCAAGCCAGGGGUGAAAGCCCGGGGCCCAACCCCGGGACUGCCCUUGGAACUGCAUGGCUGGAGUGCGGGAGGGGCAGGCGGAAUUCCUGGUGUAGCGGUGAAAUGCGUAGAUAUCAGGAGGAACACCGGCGGCGAAGGCGGCCUGCUGGACCGCGACUGACGUUGAGGCUCGAAGGCGUGGGGAGCAAACAGGAUUAGAUACCCUAGUAC
rnacentral:rRNA from 1 species